UGAUACAAGAGUUUUACAGAUGCUGGGUUGAACUGCAGAGCACUGCAGCCCAGGAGGGCAGCUAUCUGUGCUUUGCCAGUUUGUCUAAUUAACUAGGCGAGGAGUUGCAGCUGUUUGUACAGAACUAGAAACUCAUCACAAGGCAGAUCCAAGAAAGUGUGUCCUAAACACCGACCGCUGUGACUGGUUUCCUUUACUGGGCCAGCCCCUCGGUGUGAUUCAUACCAGCUAAGGAACAGAAGACCGAUAAAUCAGUAAGUUGGCUUUUCUUCUGACUCAGUUUUCCUCUCCUGAAAUACCUGGCUGAAGCCAAGUGCUCCGCUGUGGACAGAGUGCCUGCAUCUCUGGACUGGAUGUGCUGCAAGCAAAUGUGCUCCAUCACCUGUUCCCAAGUUGUGGCGAAGCUGACGUGUGGCGUCAGAUCUUUCUUACACUCUAAAUCACCAGCACAGCCGGUCAACUUUAUAAACCAUUCUGGAAUUUAUUUGAGAAAAUCGCCGAGUUCUUGCAGCUGGAAGGGAUUAUUAAAGUGCUAAAUGUUAAGACUAUUACUGAAACAUGGCCAGACACAUGGAAAUAAGUUUGGGGGAAAAAAAUGAAGAGAAAAAGAAAACUGGAAAAAUAAAAAUGCUGAUAUAAUCCUUCUGUUAAUGCUGUUCUCCAGGCGACAGGCUGGAGGAAAUUGGAGUUAUCUCAUUUAUGAAGACAAGUGGUUUCUCUCCACACUGAGACAACUGGCCAACAGUUACCAAAAGGUGGUUCUCCAACACAUUACACAAGGAAAGUCAGGAAACAAAGAAAAAAGGAGCCGAAUCAACCGGCUGUUCUUGGACCGUUAGUCACCAAUAAAGCAGAUUGCGGUUGUUGGAGGGACUGUAUGGCUUUAUUGAAGAUGGAACUCAUUCUCCACCAAGAGUGCUAAAGACAUUCACGAAAAGGAGCCACCCUGCAUGCCCCGCCCCCAGCACAAAACAACAGAUGCCUUAGGACUCUUUUACAGAACAGAAUUUGAGCACUUCAAAGCCCCUGGAGUAAUUUGUUGGUACCAACAUAGUCUUCCCUUUGGCCACUGCCUUUCUGCUACAGUAAUUGUGGGCACUUGCCCUUUCUAAUGAGUUAUUUUGUGGCUAGCUGAGGAUUUACACAGCUCUCUGUCCAAAAGGAUCUGCCGACUUUCUCUUGGCAGACACACUGUAACAUGCCGAAGGACAAGACAGUCCCAGAAGCCUGGCAUUCUGCUUGUGAAAAGACUACGUCUGACACCGACUUAGGGCAAGCUGUGCCAAGAGAUGACUGUACCUACUAGAAACUUCACAGGAAAUAGCCAGUGGAGUUUUUCUCCACUCCUUCUAGAGACACCAACUGAUAGCUGGAAAGAUGGCUCAAGAGAACAUGGUUACCACCAGGCCUUCCCAACAGUAUCUACAUUAACUCACCAAUUAUACUGCAUAAUUUAAGAAUCAAUAAAGUCACUGGCUUCCAAAUUA